AUGAAAUGGAAAUUCAUCUUCUUCAUAUAUAUGUAUUCACAACUAAUAUUAUGGACAAAAACAAUUAUAGCCUUUUUGAUUGAUUUUUUUACUGCAAAAUUUGCAUCAUUGCAUUACACUGAUGAUGUCAUGCCAUGUCAUCUGGGAGCCGAGAGCUGCUGCGCCGACACGCACGACGGCGGCGACCAGCUGCUGCUGCCGGCGGUCAUGUCGGAGCCCUUCCACUUCCCCUUCCACCCGCCGGGCCGGACGUCGACGAGGCCGCGCCCGUACAUCCUGAGGUACGCCAGCUGCUCGGUCCUAGGCACGCACACGUCCAUGCUGCCGUCGAGCAUGCCGGACACGGCCGUCAUGGCCGGCCGCACCGACGCCUCCUCCUGGAGGCAGCACAGCGCCACGCGCACCACCCUCGCCACCUCCGCCGCGUCUGCCCGGCCCUCCAGCCUCGGGUCCACCAGCUCCAGGUACCGCCCUUCCUCGUGCAGGUCCAGCGCCAGCGCCGGGAAGUAG
rnacentral:rRNA from 1 species